rnacentral:snRNA from 1 species
GGCUGGCCUCGGCAGCACGAUGCUGAAACUGGGACGAUACAGAGAAGAGCAACAUGUGCCCUGCACAAGGACGACAUGCAAAUUUGUGAAGUGUUCUCUGUUUUG